rnacentral:rRNA from 1 species
GACGAACGCUGGCGGCGUGCUUAACACAUGCAAGUCGAACGGAAAGGCCCUGCUUUUGUGGGGUGCUCGAGUGGCGAACGGGUGAGUAACACGUGAGUAACCUGCCCUUGACUAUGGGAUAACUUCAGGAAACUGGGGCUAAUACCGGAUAGGAGCUCCUGCUGCAUGGUGGGGGUUGGAAAGUUUCGGCGGUUGGGGAUGGACUCGCGGCUUAUCAGCUUGUUGGUGGGGUAGUGGCUUACCAAGGCUUUGACGGGUAGCCGGCCUGAGAGGGUGACCGGCCACAUUGGGACUGAGAUACGGCCCAGACUCCUACGGGAGGCAGCAGUGGGAAAUAUUGCACAAUGGGCGGAAGCCUGAUGCAGCAACGCCGCGUGCGGGAUGACGGCCUUCGGGUUGUAAACCGCUUUCGCCUGUGACGAAGCGUGAGUGACGGUAAUGGGUAAAGAAGCACCGGCUAACUACGUG